GGGUUCCUUGUUUGACUUACGGUCCC
rnacentral:piRNA from 1 species